UCUCCCUCUCUCUACUAGGGUUGAAACCCUCACGCCGCCGCACACCCCCUCUGCUCAGCCCUUCUCUCUACCUUUCCUCUCCCCUCAAUUUCCAGUGAAAACCCAAAUCCCCUUUCACCAUUACAAGACUUUGCUACCCCAUUUUUGGAUCAAACUUAAUUCACACACAACCACACCUUGUUGUCUCCUCUCUCUCUCUUCUUCGAUAAAUUUAGCAAGAUUCACAGUAGCUUUUGUUGAAUACAGACCGUGCAUGGUCAUUUGAGGGAUAAAAUUAAUUAUCCCAACGUCCCUCUUUCAGAUUUACAGCCUUGAAGGGCUUAUUUUAUUCUUUUCCCCUCUUUUUCUGUUCGCAAUCUGAAUUUACUUUAAUGGUUUUUGUCCAUUUAGGAAGGGAAAAUCUUUCUUUAUCAACUCCUGUGAUUUUCUCGAGUACAUGUUUUAAACGGUUUUUGUCCAUUUCCCUUUAUGGCUGAUCCGUGUCACCAACAUUCUGAUUUGAAAAGGGAAUUCAAAUUCGAAACCCCGCCCAAAAAAUUCGAACCAUAGAAAACCCCAGGGAUUCUACUAUAAAUAUUCAUCUCGGGUUAUUUUUGAGGGGGGACUGACAUUGAAUUUUUUUUGAGAUAAACAGAAUUUCUUUUCAAACAAGAGGAUACUAUUUUUUCUGAUAUUGAGAUUUUCGAUUCGAAAGGUUGUUACAAGUUCGGGUUCGUCGUGUUCGAAUGUAGAUUCGAGACUCAUACCCCUGUUCACUGCACCCAACAAAGGUGAUUUCCUCUCCUUUAAAUCAUUUUUUACUUCCAAUUAGGCCUUUAUGUGUGUCUGUCUUGUUUGGCAGUUUGAUUAGCUUGUUUUAUUCUACUUAUGGAUUUAUUUCGGUGUCUGCUUACUAUAUGUUUGUGAAUAUUUAUGAAUUAGUUGUUAGUAUGGCAUUGUUAGUAAUUUAGCAUUACAAGUCUGUCCUUUAGUUAAUAUGGGUUUGUUUGUCUAUGUUGGUUAUUGGUUUCAUUUGGUCUUAAGUCCCUAUUUUGUGUUAGGCUGCUGUUAAAACAACUGGUACUGUUAAAAUAUCUGGUCUUUUUCAUAAUCAAUCUUGAAAGUGAAAUUAUGGAUUCCUUACUAGUCUUCUAUUCGGCUUAGAGCAAUUGAAGUUAUUGAUUCCUUACUAGUCUUCUAUUCGGAAGUGAUGUUUGGUAGUAAUUUAAGAUUAAUCUCUCCCUACAACUUGUCGAAGCCUGAUUUCUGAGUUAUUUGAAUGGAAACGGAGAAUCUCUGCUUUGAAUAGAUUACUACUCGAAGGUGCUUUUCUGUUGCAAAGUGUUAAAUCAUUUGUCUUUCAAACACAAAGUGUCAUCCUCUAUUCAACUUCUAUAUUUUCAGUGAACAUCUUCUGUUUUUUUUAAGUCUCGGGCUGCAAUUGGUUUCAUUUAAUCUCAGUUGGUGUUUGAAGAGCUUGACUUGAUAUGUUUCUAAAUAUUAAAACCUAUUCCAAGUGUUGGCUGCUCAUAUUAUAGUUUUAAAAAGUGACCUCUAAGGGAAUUAGUUUUUCUUGAUCUCAACCCCACUGUUCUUUUCUUAUCUUGAAAUGCAUUAGAAGACCCUAUGUGGUUCUGUCGUCCAUCAUUUGGUUUUUUAAAGUGAAGUUGUUCUCUGUCUUAUAACAAAUUUGCCCUUGGUAGAAAGUUUAAGGAUAUUUGGCUUUAUCUUUGCCCUUAUGUCAUGUUUUUGUUGGCUGCCUAAAUAAAUAGCUAAGACUAGGUUGUGCAGGCAGUAUACUAGAUCUUUACAAAAUUAGAAUGCUAUUUGAUCUUGUAUCUUUGAAAAGAGACGAAAUCCCACUUCUUUUGAUAUGCUUGAUCUCAGUGGGUUGUUUGGUUGGUAUGGUGUUUGGACACCUUCUUCUAUCAUUGACUCAUAUAAUUUAUUAUGCUUAAAUGCUUUGUUACUGAUUUCAGUCUAAUAACUAAGAUAAAUAAGAAAGAUAGGUUAUGCCUUGUGUUAUUUAAAUCUGCGGGCAAAAUGGAUGUAAGUGAUUCAUACAGUGGAUGAUACAACCAGUCUGGUAGUAAUAAUUAAUUACUUAGUUCUUAAAACUGGAAAUGAAACUUCACCCCUCUAUGUCCGGCGCUUCUUCAAGUGUAUUUGGGUUGCAUGAAUGCUGUUUCCAUUUCUUGAGCUGGCCUAUUUCACAUCCGAAAUUACAUUUCAUUCGGUCCUCUAUCUGAUUACGUUUGGAGAUCACAGGGCAGGUCCAAACACGAUCUGCCUCAUUGUCAUUGUCAUGCUUUGCAUUCUUGUUUUACCUUCAACUAGUUGUGUAUUUCAAUAGAACUGUUAGAUGAUAUCACUAAUCUUUAUUUUAUUUUUUACAUGUACACUUCGGAGCGAAAUGGAGUCUUCAUAAAGAUUCAUUAUCUGAACAGUCUCAUUUUGAGACUAUGCGGCAUUUGGACUUUGCAUGCGUCUUUCUAUUCAGCUCUCGUUCUCUCGACCUUUAUCCGAACAGAAAACAAAGAGAGUGGCUAGCCAAACGGAAAUUAAACAUGAAUAACAUAAGAUGUCAACAAUUGGUAGAGCUAUGAUCAGCUAUUUUGAGACUCGAGCAGGCAUCUACAGCAUCACCAAUAAGAGACGGAGACUUUAAUUACCGCGACUAGAAGGCCAAUUUCGACAGAUACAAACAUUACUCCAAAAAAGGCACCAAUGCAAACAAUAAAGUCCAUCUUGUCCACUUUCCAGAUAUGAUACGCUUCAUUUAUGUCGAUCAAUCCAGGAAGCGCGGAUAAGAUAACCGAUGCAAGGAUAGCUAGUGGAGUGUAGUAUAAAAGCUUGGUUAACAAUUCCAGGGAUAUGAAAACUGUGAUUGCCAUAACUAUGUUUGAUACCACAGUCUCACAUCCUGCAUUGAAAUUCACAGCUGUCCUUGAAAACGAACCUGUAACAAUUUAUUAGCAAAACAGAAUUUGUAUGACUUAUCAUAUUGAUAUUCAAGAUUUUGAGUAUAAUACAGUCAGACCUCUUUAUAACAGUCACUCUAUUGUAGCAACUUUUCACUAUAAUAGCCAUGUUUUCUGUUGAGCCGAUCUUUCAUGUUUUGUUAUAUUAUAUGUUUUCUAUAUCAACAUUUCGCUAUAAUAGACAAAGCAUAUCGGAACAAAGGAUGCUGUUAUAGAGAGG